rnacentral:piRNA from 1 species
UCUUCAGUGAUUCCCAGUUUUCAAACCUUGC